GUAGCAACACCUGCUGAGUUCUCUGGGUUUUCUUCCUGCCUCAUGUAGCCCAGACUUGGAGCUGAAGAAGCUGGAAACAUGGAAACACCAACAGCUACAGACCAAAAAAAGUCCCAACAAAGGCCUGUCAGUCUGCCAGCCUGUUCUGUGGAUUUCCAACUCAAGAUUGCAGCAUCAACUCACACCUGAAGUUCUGGCUUCCCUACAAACUUUGAACUUGCCAGUCCCCACAAUGGCAUAAGCCAAUUCCUUAAAAUGAAUGUCUAGUUCUAGAUAAUGUGUGUAUUCUACUGGUUCUGUUUCUCUGGAGAAGCCUACUAAUAGAUCAUUUGUCUUAGUCAAUUCAAGCUACUGUUACAGAUUACCAUAGACUGGGUGGUUAAAACUACAAAUACUUAUUACUCACAGUUUUGGAGUCUGGAAGUCUGAGAUCAGGUUUC
rnacentral:lncRNA from 1 species